UGCAUGAAAACCACGCCUGUCCCAAACUCUUCGCCCAAUGCUAAAUCCAUCGACCUUAUUCUCCAAGCUAUUUGGAAGGACGAAGUCAGGGUGGACGAUAACAGAAUGGCAAACCAAAUUAUCCAUAAAAAAACGUUAUACAUCCUGAGUAGUUGUAGGCUACGUUCUGUAUUUAUUUAUAGUCAUUAAAAUAUUAGCUACACGUGUGCUCGAGACAUGUAGGCUGGCUAACAUAUCCCAGGAAUUGAACUUGCUGGUGAUGAUGCUCGUGGAUCAUGACUGUUCUGGGACUGAUGUUCGGUUGGUUCGUCAGCUCAACAAGGGUAUGAGGAUUCAACCAGGGAUAUGCAGCGGAGGGACCGAGCAGCAACGGGGAUGUAAAACUGGAGACGUCAAUGAAAAUAUUGUUUGUCUGCAAUCUCAGGAUGAAACGGGACGGGUGUGUCCUGGAAGCCCAGCACUGGCGACAGACACGCGGCUAUCCUCCUGUUCCACAGCAGACCGUGAACCAAGCAGUGGCAGUUACAACGUCUCCACUGGAACGGGAACCUUUUACAGCUGCGUCAGUCAGAUCACCAUCGGGUUUGAUCUCGGGGGCCAAGUGGCCAUUGGUAUCUCUCAUUGGAACAGUCCAUUCCCUUCCAGAGGUCACCCCCUGUGUGACAGUCCUGAUGGGGUUCGCUCCGAGGCCUCCGCUGCCGCAGCCCCGCAACUCCCUGAGUACCAAGAGCCAGUGUCCUGUCCUGCCUCCCUGUCAAUCAACCCUAUAUCAUCCCACUGCAGCGCCAGCCAGGAGACCAUCAGCGAAAGCAGCACAAGUGUGAGUUUCUCUCUACAUGGGGCUGAGCUCCAAUGGCAGAGCCCCCACAGACGCAGAGUUCUGCGUCCCCCGUCCCCUGGGGUUGAGGCUGCGGAUUUCUCCUUCCCCCACAACAGGUCGCCAGUCAGAAUGGAGGAGUCCUUGGCUGGGGCUCCUGAUUCCCCCAGCACACAGAACAGCGUGCCACCCCCCGUUUUGAAGGAUGUGAAGUUGUUAAUGGAGAGUUUGGAGGGGCUGAGCACUCCGUCCAAAGAUGGCGACUCGACCCUGCUCGACCCCGGGACCAGUAGCAUCCUGGACGACAACACCAGGACUGACCCGGCACCAGAGGUAGGGAGAAGUAGGUCCAGUGGCUUGUGCUUCAGCGAUGGCAAGUGCCACAUCGACUACAUCCUGGUUUACAGGAAGUCUGGUCCACAGUCGGAGAAGAGGGAAAUAUUUGAGCGCAACAUCCGGGCCGAGGGCUUGCAGAUGGAGAAGGAGUUGUCUGUGUGCAACAGUGAUGUGAUCUUCCUGAAGCUGCAUGCUCCCUGGGAGGUGCUGUGUCGCUACGCAGAGCUUAUGAACAUUCGGAUGCCGUUCAGGAGAAAAAUCUACUACAUGCAUCGACGGUACAAGUUCAUGAGUAGGAUGGAGAAGAGAAUCAACAGAUUUCGAGGAUGGCUGCCUCGCAAACCUAUGAAGUUUGACAACAACGACCUCCCUGACCUGGAGGAGAACGAGAGCUUUACCGCCCCCUUCAGUCGCUCCAGAAUACAUCAUUUCACCAUUCACAACAAAGACACGUUCUUCAACAACGCUACCAGGAGUCGCAUCGUCCAUCAUAUCUUGCAAAGGGUCAAAUAUGAGGAGGGCAAAGACAAAAUGGGGCUGAAUCGUCUUUUGAGCAAUAGUUCAUACGAGGCAGCUUUUCCCCUUCAUGAGGGGAGCUACAGAAGUAAGAACUCCAUCCGGACGCAUGGGGCAGAGAACCACAGACACUUGCUGUAUGAAUGCUGGGCCUGGUGGGGGGUGUGGUACAAGUACCAGCCACUGGACCUCAUAAGGCGGUAUUUCGGGGAGAAAAUUGGUCUCUAUUUUGCCUGGCUGGGUUGGUACACUGGGAUGCUGUUCCCUGCGGCGCUGGUUGGGCUCAUGGUCUUCCUCUACGGCUGGUUCACCCUAGACCACUGCCAGGUCAGUAAAGAAAUCUGCCAGGCCACUGACAUCAUCAUGUGCCCCAUAUGUGACGAGUACUGCCCCUACCUGAGACUCUCAGACAGCUGCAUCUAUGCCAAGGUCACCCAUCUUUUUGACAACGGAGCAACAGUUUUCUUUGCUGUAUUCAUGGCUGUGUGGGCAACCGUGUUUCUCGAGUUCUGGAAGAGGCGGCGAGCGGUCCUUGCGUAUGACUGGGACCUAAUUGACUGGGAGGAAGAGGAGGAGGAAAUCCGUCCCCAGUUUGAGGCCAAAUAUUCCAAAAAGGAGAGGAUGAACCCCAUAUCUGGAAAGCCUGAGCCGUACCAGGCCUUUACAGACAAGUACAGCCGACUCAUCGUCUCAGCUUCUGGAAUCUUCUUUAUGAUACUGGUGGUGAUCGCUGCCGUCUUCGGCAUCGUGAUUUACCGCGUGAUCACAGUCAGCACUUUUGCCGCCUUCGGCUGGGCUCUCAUCAGGAAUAACUCUCAGGUGGCCACCACCGGCACAGCCGUGUGCAUCAACUUCUGCACCAUCAUGCUCCUCAAUGUGUUGUAUGAAAAAGUUGCCCUUCUGCUCACCAAUUUAGAGCAGCCAAGGACUGAGUCCGAGUGGGAGAACAGCUUCACCCUGAAGAUGUUCCUGUUUCAGUUUGUCAAUCUCAACAGCUCUACCUUCUACAUAGCUUUUUUCCUGGGCAGGUUCACUGGUCGGCCAGGAGCCUAUAUACGCCUCAUUAACCGCUGGAAACUGGAAGAGUGCCAUCCCAGUGGUUGUUUGAUAGAUCUCUGCAUGCAGAUGGGUAUCAUCAUGGUGCUCAAGCAGACCUGGAACAACUUCAUGGAGCUGGGCUACCCGCUGAUCCAGAACUGGUGGACGCGGCGAAGGCUGAGGCAGGAGCACGGCCCCAACGCCAAGGCCAGCUUCCCGCAGUGGGAGAGGGACUACAACCUGCAGCCCAUGAAUGCCUACGGACUGUUUGACGAAUACCUGGAGAUGAUCUUACAGUUUGGCUUCACCACCAUAUUUGUGGCAGCUUUCCCCCUGGCCCCGCUCCUGGCCCUCCUCAACAACAUCAUUGAGAUCCGCCUGGACGCCUACAAGUUUGUCACUCAGUGGCGGAGACCCCUGCCCUCUCAAGCCAAAGACAUAGGGAUCUGGUACGGCAUUCUGGAGGGCAUCGGUAUCUUGUCCGUCAUCACCAACGCCUUUGUCAUCGCCGUCACCUCCGACUUCAUCCCACGCCUUGUAUACGCAUACAAGUACGGCCCGUGUGCCGGGCAGGGCCGGGCCGGGGAGAGGUGCAUGAUGGGAUAUGUGAACGCCAGUCUAUCGAUGUUCAGAGUGUCUGAUUUUGAGAACACGUCCGUGCCCAGGACAGAUGGAUCGGAUACGUUUGGAGAAGCAGUGAAGUACUGCAGGUACCGUGACUACAGAGAGCCCCCAGACUCGCCCGGUGAGCCAUACUCCUACACGCUGCAGUUCUGGCAUGUCCUGGCCGCACGGCUGGCCUUCAUCAUAGUCUUCGAGCACAUGGUUUUCACCAUCAAGAACCUGAUCGCCUACCUGAUCCCAGACCUGCCCAAGGACUUGCGGGACCGCAUGCGGCGGGAGAAGUACCUGAUCCAGGAGAUGAUGUACGAGGCCGAGCUAGAGAGACUGCAGAAGGAGAAAAAGAAGAAUUACAGGGCCCAUCAUAACGCAUUGCUCUGAAUGCACAAACAGGUGAUAAAUAACUACACUGCACUGAAGGGACCAGCACGGAAUACUGACAGGCAAUCUAUAAGUUUGCAGGCUGCAGAGUGUGGCGCAUAGGAAUUACAUUUAUAUAUAGGAAGAAUAACUCACCUGUAUGACCAAUGUGUAGCACCACUCAUCUGGGUGAAGCACAGCUGUCAUUUUAUGCCUGAACGCUCAACACACAUCAGCUAUCGAAGUAAGAUUUGCCAAUUGAAGCACGGGAAGACAAGGGACCAGGUUGUGCAAGGAAGCGAAAUAAGUCAUGCUGGUGUCCAUUUUUGCUCGGUGGCGUUGUGUGUGGGAAUGACAGAGAACUGGCUGCAUGCACGCCAGGGACUGUCCUGCCUGUCUGCGUCUCUCACUGGACCAGGUGAGCGCCCCCAAGAGGACCGUCCAACAAACCUGCAUUCAGCAUGCUCCUCGCCAUGGUGUUCAAACGUACUGUACGUCAUUUUGAAUCCGAGAGGCCAGUGGGUGAGGGGAAAAAAGAGGACAUACAUUGGAACAUUUGACAAUAUGGGUUUACUACUUUUUUCCAGAUUGCUCCUUCCACUUUGGACUCACAACUGUACAUUUCUUCAAAACCUGAAUGUAGAUUUCAAAGAAACACAAAAAACAAACUUUUGCAGUUCUAUUGUCACAACUUAAAAAAAGUAAUCCGUGCGGUUGAAUGACAAACCCUGUUUACAAUCCUAGUCUUUUUAUUUUGAGGACAAACUCAUGAGGAAUCAUGAUUAAUUGCUUUUACAAGGUUGUAAAAGCAAUUCAUGUUCUCUGCUUACGUUGUGUGCUGCUUACAAUGUUAUUUUGAAACGUUCCUUCAGAUCUGUGUUAGUGAACGCAGACUGCUCAAACAUCCAAUGCCUUCCUUUACAAUGGAUACUAAUAACAAGAGUAAUAAAAAUUCAUAUUUGUUACAAA